rnacentral:rRNA from 1 species
UACGUAGGGUGCAAGCGUUGUCCGGAUUUAUUGGGCGUAAAGAGCUCGUAGGCGGUCUGUCGCGUCGGAUGUGAAAACCCAGGGCUCAACCCUGGGCCUGCAUUCGAUACGGGCAGACUAGAGUAUGGCAGGGGAGACUGGAAUUCCUGGUGUAGCGGUGAAAUGCGCAGAUAUCAGGAGGAACACCGGUGGCGAAGGCGGGUCUCUGGGCCAAAACUGACGCUGAGGAGCGAGAGCGUGGGGAGCGAACAGG